GACAAACAGGUCAAGUUAAGACUUAUUGGUAUAAAAGGAGGUUAAGUCUAUUAGGAGAGGGGAAUAUUUUUUUGGUGUAGAGGUGGAAUUUGUGCAUCAAUUAGUUUUUUAAGUUUUUCUUUGUCUGAUGCCUCGAAAUUUUAUUAGGAGACCGGGAUUAGAUACCCCGUUAUUUUAAAUGUAAACAAUGAUUGUUAAAAUAAUUUACCUGAGUAUUACGGGCUGAGAUUAUUUUCAGGAGCCUAAAACUCAAAAAACUUGGCGGUGCCUUAUUUCCUUCCAGGGGAACCUGUCCUUUAAAUGAUAGUCCACGAUUUAGCUUACUUUUUAUUGUAUUACCCUUAUGGGGUAACAGCUUGUAUACCGUCGUCGUCAGAGUACUUUUUAAAAGAUAGAAGUUGUCAGAGUAAACAAUUACUUAGUUACGCUGAAAGUGAAAUUUAGUUUAAUUUUUAGAUGUCAGAUCAAGGUGCAGCUGAUGAGAAAGUAGAGAUGGGUUACAAUAUUUAUUCAAUAUAUGGAUUUUGGGGGGGUAAAUUUCUAGAUAAAAGCGGACUUGGAAGUAAUUUAAUAGCUUAAUUCAAAUAGUUUUAUGAAAAGCGGUCCUAAAGUGCGU
rnacentral:rRNA from 1 species